rnacentral:rRNA from 1 species
AUGGCCCGUGAGUCUUCGCCGGCCGCUCGUUCUCCUCCGGCCAAGGGUGACGACGAGGUGGUGUCCCAAAGGACCUUCGAAGGCCAGGGAGAGGUUCAGGAGGCCGUCAGGGUGGCGUCAGAGGAUGAUUCCUCGACCGCCGGACACAUGGGGGAGGAAGCCCCCAUGGGGACUGGCGAUGGGGGCCAUAUACAAUUCGGCCCCCAGCCGAAUACCCUUCCGGAGACCCAUAGGGUUCUGGAGUCAGGCGAGCAGCCUUCCCUGAAAGGAGGAGGGAUGCCUGCUCCGCCGGUGACCUCUAUCCAACCAGAGGCACCGGAUAAUCUGCUGGUAGCGCUACAAGGCGCUUCCAUUGUGGAUGAACACCGUAUCCUUAUGGGUACGGUGAUUGAGAAGGUCCAGUCCGCCAGAAGGGGACUGACCGAAGCCUGCACUAGCCUUCUAACAGGCUUUGAGGCGUCGCUGCUGGCUACUGCCGCUCAUACUGCAGAGGUCUCCGGACUGAAGCAGAAUCUGAAGCGGGCCAAGGAAGAGCUCGACCUCGUGAAGAAGCAGUUGGAGGACAGCCAAGGGGCCAUGACCGAGGUGGCAGUCCUCAAGAAGGCGUUAGCCGAGGCCGAGGACAAAGCGGCCAAGGAAAGCGCCGCGCGCGAGAAGCAGGAGGCUCGGGUCAGCGAGGUCCAGCAAGAGCUCCAGGACGCCGUCAAGAAGUACGAGUCCUUGGAGCAUGAUUCUAAGACUCAGGAGUCCGAGCUUGCCAAGGCCCGCCAGAGCGCACAAGAUGCCCGAACCGAAGCCCAAAGCGCCCUCCAGGAAUCCAGGCGGCCAAGAAGAUUGCGGCGGGGGCGUUUACGGAUCUGCCGCGCAGCAUAUCAGAUGCUGCAGAGUUCUAUCGAGCCGAAGAAGGGAUCUCUACGGAGAAUCUGUUCUGGUCUCAGUACCUUGGACUAG